rnacentral:lncRNA from 1 species
AAAGCUCUGACCUCGCUUUUCUUUUUCAGCAUCACAGACCUGGCUCCCUCCUGGGGACAGGUUACUCGGUCUGUGGAAAGCAGCUCUGCCUUCUACGGAACAAAGGCAUCCCAAAAGAUCAGCUGUACAACGUCACUUCAUAUUCCUUAGGUUAGACGAUUAUAACUCCAUCUGAACAAGAAAUCAGAAAUACUUUCUUCUUGAUCACAUGACUGAUCUUCUGGUACCUCCUCAACCUGUGCAGGACUACCGCCAAACUUGUUCCCACUGAAGCUGUGACAAAGACUCUUCCAAGUCCUUUGAGCUGAAGCUGGGAUGUGCCAUCACCAUCCUGCAAGAAUCUGAACUCGUUCAAAGAGUUGCUCCAACCCCUAACCCCGCAAGAUCCUGAGGGUGACAGGAGGAUGCCAACCCCCCCACAAUACACCUCUCUGCACUGGCAGGCUAAGGAGUGGAUCCAAAACGAUUUCUGCAAUUUCACAGGAGCCAGACGGCAAAAUAUUCCCUACCAGUAAAGUGAACACAAGCCUGAACACACUGGAAUUCAAGGAGAAAAUUGUAGAUAUACAAAACUUACAAUAAAUCCUUUCCCAAAUUACA